GAUGAACGCUGGCGGAGUGCCUAAUACAUGCAAGUCGAGCGGCAGCGCGAGUAGUUUACUACUUGGCGGGGAGCGGCGGACGGCUGAGUAACGCGUGGGAACGUGCCCCAAAGUGAGGGAUAACCACCCGAAAGGGUGGCUAAUACCGCAUAUGAUCCUCGGAUUAAAGGAUUUAUCCGCUUUGGGAGCGGCCCGCGUACGAUUAGAUUGUUGGUGAGGUAAUGGCUCACCAAGUCGACGAUCGUUAGCUGGUCUGAGAGGAUGAUCAGCCAGACUGGGACUGAGACACGGCCCAGACUCCUACGGGAGGCAGCAGUAAGGAAUCUUCCACAAUGGGGGCAACCCUGAUGGAGCAACUCCGCGUGCAGGACGAAGGCCUUCGGGUCGUAAACUGCUUUUAUGAGUGAAGAAUAUGACGGUAACUCAUGAAUAAGGAUCGGCUAACUACGUGCCAGCCGCCGCGGUAA
rnacentral:rRNA from 1 species